GAUGAAGAACGUAGCGAAAUGCGAUAAGUAAUGUGAAUUGCAGAAUUCAGUGAAUCAUCGAAUCUUUGAACGCACAUUGCGCCCAUUAGCAUUCUAGUGGGCAAGCCUGUUCGAGCGUCAUUUCAACCCUUAAGCCCUGUUGCUUAGCGUUGGGAGCCUACAGUACUGUAGCUCCCCAAAGUUAGUGGCGGAGUCGGUUUCACACUCUAGACGUAGUAAUUUUUUCUCGUCUGUAGUUGAGCCGGUCCCCUGCCGUAAAACACCCAAUUUAUCAAGGUUGACCUCGGAUCAGGUAGGAAUACCCGCUGAACUUAAGCAUAUCAAUAAGCGGAGGA
rnacentral:misc_RNA from 1 species